UACGUAGGGUGCGAGCGUUGUCCGGAAUUACUGGGCGUAAAGAGCUCGUAGGUGGUUUGUCGCGUUGUUCGUGAAAACUCACAGCUUAACUGUGGGCGUGCGGGCGAUACGGGCAGACUGGAGUACUGCAGGGGAGACUGGAAUUCCUGGUGUAGCGGUGGAAUGCGCAGAUAUCAGGAGGAACACCGGUGGCGAAGGCGGGUCUCUGGGCAGUAACUGACGCUGAGGAGCGAAAGCGUGGGGAGCGAACAAG
rnacentral:rRNA from 1 species